GAUCAACGGGAGGGCCUUUACCUUUACCUUUACCUUACAGAGAAGAUUAGCAUGGCCCCUGCGCAAGGAUGACACGCAGAUUCGUGAAGCGUUCCAUAUUUUU